CGAAGUUUCCCCGCCCCGCGGUCGGGUCGGACCCGACCGACCAAACUUUUCUCCCCCCCCUCCGGGCUGUCCCUCUCCCUCCCCGGCAGCACACAGGAGGCGCUCGGUCCGCCUCUCGUCGGCGUUUCGGCAGCGCAGGACGGGGCCGCCGCUCACUGCAGGACGCACUUCUCCUCCCGCUUGGCCAUCUUGCCUUUGUUUUGCUCCAGGGUCCGCUCCAGGUCCCGCACCAGCGCGUCCCGCU
rnacentral:lncRNA from 1 species